rnacentral:lncRNA from 13 species
UGCACACAAACACGUGAAUAAAGAAAAACACCAAAAUAGUAACAAAGUUACCUUUUUUUUUCUCUCUUAGGUUAGGCUGAUUUAUAAGAGCUGCUCUGGGCAUUUACAGAGUGUUUACAUUUGACUUUGAAUACACUGAACAUGGCAAUUAGAAGUCGUCAUGGCAAGAGAACACCGCAGCCAUCACAAGAACCAGAAAACAGUAGGGGAAGCGAAGUAAUAAAGGGUUUCAAAAAGAAGAAUGUGUUGCACAAAGAAUCUGAGAAAUUUCAGAUGACCCCCAAGCACAGCAAGUCUAAGUAUCAGGAUACACAGUUAAGGGAGAUGGAGUUUCACUAUGUUUCCCGGUCUGGUCUUGAGCUCCCAGGCCCAAGCGACCCUCCC